AAUCUGUCUUAUAAGAUUACUGAGAAAGUAAUGAACACUGUCACCUUGGUUGUCAUGUGGUGAACUGCAUGUAUUGGUUAAUAAUAAUCAUACAUUUUCAGUCUUGAUUUGACAAAAGCAACAGAGUGUCUUCUCUCAAUAUAGGAAAGAAUUAUUCCAUAUUUAUUACGACUGAGACAAAUUAAGGAUGAAACUCUUCAGGCUGCAGUUAGAGAAAUUUUGGCCCUAAUUGGCUAUGUGGAUCCAGUGAAAGGGAGAGGAAUCCGAAUUCUCUCAAUUGAUGGUGGAGGAACAAGGGGCGUGGUUGCUCUCCAGACCCUACGAAAAUUAGUUGAACUUACUCAGAAGCCAGUUCAUCAGCUCUUUGAUUACAUUUGUGGUGUAAGCACAGGUGCCAUAUUAGCUUUCAUGUUGGGGUUGUUUCAUAUGCCCUUGGACGAAUGUGAGGAACUUUAUCGAAAAUUAGGAUCAGAUGUAUUUUCACAAAAUGUCAUUGUUGGAACAGUCAAAAUGAGUUGGAGCCAUGCAUUUUAUGACAGUCAAACAUGGGAAAAC
rnacentral:sRNA from 1 species